GUGAACGCUGGCGGUAGGCCUAACACAUGCAAGUCGAACGGCAGCACCGUAAGAGCUUGCUCUUACGGGUGGCGAGUGGCGGACGGGUGAGGAAUACAUCGGAAUCUACUUUUUCGUGGGGGAUAACGUAGGGAAACUUACGCUAAUACCGCAUACGACCUACGGGUGAAAGCAGGGGAUCUUCGGACCUUGCGCGAUUGAAUGAGCCGAUGUCGGAUUAGCUAGUUGGCGGGGUAAAGGCCCACCAAGGCGACGAUCCGUAGCUGGUCUGAGAGGAUGAUCAGCCACACUGGAACUGAGACACGGUCCAGACUCCUACGGGAGGCAGCAGUGGGGAAUAUUGGACAAUGGGCGCAAGCCUGAUCCAGCCAUACCGCGUGGGUGAAGAAGGCCUUCGGGUUGUAUAGCCCUUUUGUUGGGAAAGUAAAGCAGCAGGUUAAUACCCCGCUGUUCUGACGGUACCCAAAGAAUAAGCACCGGCUAACUUCGUG
rnacentral:rRNA from 1 species